rnacentral:rRNA from 1 species
GAUGAACGCUGGCGGCGUGCCUAAUACAUGCAAGUCGAGCGAACAGACGAGGAGCUUGCUCCUCUGACGUUAGCGGCGGACGGGUGAGUAACACGUGGAUAACCUACCUAUAAGACUGGGAUAACUUCGGGAAACCGGAGCUAAUACCGGAUAAUAUAUUGAACCGCAUGGUUCAAUAGUGAAAGACGGUUUUGCUGUCACUUAUAGAUGGAUCCGCGCCGCAUUAGCUAGUUGGUAAGGUAACGGCUUACCAAGGCAACGAUGCGUAGCCGACCUGAGAGGGUGAUCGGCUACACUGGAACUGAGACACGGUCCAGACUCCUACGGGAGGCAGCAGUAGGGAAUCUUCCGCAAUGGGCGAAAGCUUGACGGAGCAACACCGCGUGAGUGAUGAAGGUCUUCGGAUCGUAAAACUCUGUUAUUAGGGAAGAACAAAUGUGUAAGUAACUAUGCACGUCUUGACGGUACCUAAUCAGAAAGCCACGGCUAACUACGUG